rnacentral:tRNA from 1 species
AGUUAAUAUCUUAAGAAAGAAUUAUGUUUUGAAAGCAUAUAAAAGAGGUUAAAUUCCUCUAUUAACUU